GACGAACGCUGGCGGCGUGCUUAACACAUGCAAGUCGAACGGAAAUGCCCUGCUUUUGUGGGGUGCUCGAGUGGCGAACGGGUGAUUAACACUUGAGUAACCUGCCCUUGACUUUGGGAUAGCUUCAUGAAACUGGGGCUAAUACCGGAUAGGAGCUCCUGCUGCAUGGUGGGGGUUGGAAAGUUUCGGGGGUUGGGGAUGGACUCGCGGCUUAUCAGCUUGUUGGUGGGGUAGUGGCUUACCAAGGCUUUGACGGGUAGCCGGCCUGAGAGGGUGACCGGCCAGAUUGGGAGUGAGAUACGGCCCAGACUACUACGGGAGGCAGGAGUGGGGAAGAUUGAACAAUGGGCGGAAGCAUGAUGCAGCAACGCAGCGUGCGGGAUGACGGCAUUCGGGUUGUAAACCGCUUUCGCCUGGGACGAAGCGUGAGUGACGGUAAUGGGUAAAGAAGCACCGGCUAACUACGU
rnacentral:rRNA from 1 species